AGUCGCGUAACUCAGUUGGUUAGAGUGUCACCUUGACAUGGUGGAAGUCGGCAGUUCGAAUCUGCCCGCGACUACCA
rnacentral:tRNA from 6 species